CCUACGGGAGGCAGCAGUGGGGAAUAUUGCACAAUGGGGGAAACCCUGAUGCAGCGACGCCGCGUGAGUGAAGAAGUAUCUCGGUACGUAAAGCUCUAUCAGCAGGGAAGAAACUGACGGUACCUGACUAAGAAGCCCCGGCUAACUACGUGCCAGCAUCCGCGGUAAUACGUAGGGGGCGAGCGUUAUCCGGAUUUACUGGGUGUAAAGGGAGCGUAGACGGGAGCACAAGUCUGGAGUGAAAUCCCGGGGCUUAACCCCGGAACUGCUGUGGAAACUGUGCGGCUGGAGUGCAGGAGGGGUAAGCGGAAUGCCUAGUGUAGCGGUGAAAUGCGUAGAUAUUAGGAGGAACACCGGUGGCGAAGGCGGCUUACUGGACUGUAACUGACGUUGAGGCUCGAAAGCGUGGGGAGCAAACAGGAUUAGAUACCCGUGUAGUC
rnacentral:rRNA from 1 species